rnacentral:rRNA from 1 species
CGCGCAUAUAUAUAAUUAAAUGGCUCAUCAGGGGUGCCGGAUAUAACGUGCGCCGGCCGUACGCCCGUAUAUGUCUAAAUCGCUGGUCGCUCCCCCCCCUCGGCUAUAUCUUGUAAUUGGAAUGAGUACAAUUUAAACCCCUUAACGAGGACGCCCCUCGGCCCUUUUGAAUAGAUAAGGGGUAUCACGGCGUGCACUGGUCCGGCUGGGCCUUAAUCGCGCUGUCGCUCGCUCGCUUCCAGCUCCAAUAGCGUAUAUUAAAGUUGUUGCAGUUAAAAAGCUCGUAGUUGAACCUUGGGCCUGGCUGGCCGGUCCGUUAUCGCUCGCCGUGGGCGGAACCAGGGGCUCUAGAUCCGAUGCUAAAGCCCUGAUCGUCCUGGAAUAAUAGAAUAGGAAAUCGCUCGUAAAGAUAGCUUCUCCUCUUGGGGAACCCCAUGGCCUUCACUGGCUUUUACUGUGAAAAAAUUAGAGUGUUCAAAGCAGGCCUUUGCUCGGAUACAUUAGCACGUGUGGUUCUAUUUUGUUGGUUUCUAGGACCGCCGUAGGUGAAAUUCUUGGAUUUGCCGAAGACUAAUCUUCCGGGGGCCUCGAGCCGGACCGCGCCCGCCGGAGGACAGACACCAAGAAAAAAUUCUCUGAAGAGCUGUCAGUCUGAAGAACGCAGCGAAAUUAGUCGGGGGCGUCAGUAUUCGGCUGUCAGACGGAUCUCUUGGUUCCGGCAUCGAUGGGGGAUAGAGCAUUGCAAUUAUUGCUCUUCAACGAGGAAUGCCUAGUAAGCGUGCGUUUAGCAAGCACAAUCAGUUAAAACUUUCAACAAGCGAUAAGUAAUGUGAAUUGCAGAAUUCCGUGAAUCAUCGAAUCUUUGUGAAUUGCAGAAUUCCGUGAAUCAUCGAAUCUUUGAC